UGCCCCGCUGGGUCUGUGAAGCCACAAAGGGAAAACAGGAGUCAUUCUAGCAGCUGCCUCCUGCCCGGCAUCCUGAUCCCGGCUCCGGCUAGCUCCCGCCCUCAACCCACUCUGGGCAGGAAAUAGUUCCUCGUUGAGGGGGCCACCGGCCCCGGCCCGGCUGGCUUCGCCUUUGUCCGCAGCUCCAGAGGCCCCCGACCCCCCGUCGCCACCAGGCUAAGCACGGGCAGCCCAGGCAGAAAGCCACUGCCUGCCAACCCCAGGCGCCUGCACAGCGGGCCGCCCUGCGCACCGUUCACCCGGGCUCCCGGACGCUCUUCCGAGCCGGGCGGGAGACGGGGCUCCGCGGCCGGAGGCGCCCUCCCAGGCCUACGACCCCAGCAGGCCGGGGUCCCGGGAGCCGCAGUCUCCGCGGCCUCCGGCGGGAGCUCUCGCAGUGCCCGCUCCGGGAACUCCAGCCGCGACCGGGGAAGAGGGGCGCCGCGGGUGCGACCAGGGAGAGGAUGUCAGUUCCCUGACCAGGGAUUGAACCUGGGCCACAGCAAUGAAAGCGCCAAAUCCUAACCACUAGACCACCAUGGAAUUCCUGGAGAACAGUCAAGAAGCAGAGCCAGAGAGCAUUUGGAGAGAUGUUCUAAGCCUUGUGAGCAGCCCCUCCAGUGUGUGGACGUUCUGACUGACCCCACGUGUCCAGGGCCCCCUUGGAGAGACGCACUCCAAGCACCUGAGGCCAGCCACUCACUCGAGCCAGUGGUGGAGGGAUUGUUCUGUAUUCAUUUAAGAUAAGUCUCUCCCUUCCCUGGCGGCGCAGUGGUUAAGAAUCCUCCUGCCAAUGCAGGGGACAUGGGUUCACUCCCUGUCCGGGAGGAUCCCACACGCUGCGGAACAAGUAAGCCCGUGCACCACAACUACUGAGCCCGCGCUCCAGAGUCCAUGCGCCACAACUACUGAGCCUGCGCUCUGGAGCCCGCAAGCCACAACUACUGAGUGCGCGUGCCACAACUCCUGAAGCCCGUGUGCCUAGAGCCCGUGCUCCGCAACAAGAGAAGCCGCCAAAAUGAGAAGCCGGCGCACCACAACGAAGAGUAGCGCCCACUUGCCACAACUAGAGAAAGCCUGCGCACAGCAACGAAGACCCAGUGCAACCAAAAAUAAAUAAAUACAUUUCUUAAAGGUUUAAAAGAUAAGUCUCUCCUUGGGCAGAAACCAUCCUCGGACACUUUAUAAGAUCCCUCUGGGACCCAGCAGAGGAGCCUCACAGGACAGGGGCUAUUUUGCUCUAUGGCUAUUUUGCUCUCAUAUACAUUAAAAUCUGUGUUUCUCAAAUGAUGUUUUAAAAUGUGAGCCAUUUAGGUAGAAACUAACAUGAAAGCCUGCAACUGGGAUUUCUGAACGGCAGUUAAUGUUGUACAACUUUGAAAUAAGAUGAUGGAAGGACAGGAGAGGAAGCAAGAAAAGAAUAGCUUUAGAGAAAGGGAGUUAAGGUUUAUUUGCAUUAAAAAUACUAGAAAUAUCAAAACCACAAUGAGAUACCACUUUACAUCUAUUAAGAGAGCUAUUACAAAAAGAAAGAAAGAAAAUAACAAGUGUUGGCGAGAAUGUGGAGAAGUUAGAACCCUAGUGCGUUGCUGAUGGGAAUGUAAAAUGGUGCAGCUGCUGUGGGAAACAGUUCAGCAGUUUCUCAAAAGGUUAAAUAUAGAGCUACCAUAUGAUCUAGCUAGUCCACUUCUGGGUAUAUACCCAAAAGAAUUGAAAGCAGGAACUCCAGGAGGUGUUUGUACACUCGUGUUCAUGGCAGCAUUAUUCACAGUAACCAAUAGGUAGAAACAACAUAAGUGCCCAUUAAUAAAUGAAUGGAUAAACAAAAUGUGAUAGAGCUAGAUAGAUACAGAUAUAGAUAUAAUGGAAUAUUAUUCAGCCUUAAACAGGAAGGAUGUUCUGAUGCAGGCUUCAACAUGGAUGAACCUUGAGAACAUUAUGCUAAGUGAAACAAGCCAGUCACAAAAGGACAAAUACUGUGUGAUUCCCUUGUAUAAGGGACCUAGAGUCGUGAAAUUUAUAGAGACAGAAAGUAGGA